GGGGAUGUAAAGGUUUCGACAGAUAUGCGGAAGCCGGAUAAGCGAGCCGUAGAUUGCGCUAUCUACGUAAAAAGGCGCACGUUAAAUAUAAACGCUAAAAAUAACAACAAACUCGCAUUUGCUGCCUAAUUAACGCAGCGCGCGCGUCGACCCUCUCUCACCUGCAGGGGAGGAUGUUCGGCGUCAUUAUGCAGGAAAACUCUGUGUGAAUUCCCGGCAGCACAGGGGAAUAACGGGAUAGUCGAAAGGCGGGCUUGUCGCUGAGCCUUCCAUGAGGCGAAUUUAAAAAGACAUCGACUGCGCUCGGAGAAAUUCUUGUGAAAGUGUAUUUGGACAGGGGUUCGACUCCCCUCAUCUCCACCA
rnacentral:tmRNA from 1 species